rnacentral:rRNA from 1 species
CGUGAAAUCUCACGGCUUAACUGUGAGCGUGCGGGCGAUACGAGCAGACUUGAGUACUGCAGGGGAGACUGGAAUUCCUGGUGUAGCGGUGGAAUGCGCAGAUAUCAGGAGGAACACCGGUGGCGAAGGCGGGUCUCUGGGCAGUAACUGACGCUGAGGAGCGAAAGCGUGGGGAGCGAACAGGAUUAGAUACCCUGGUAGUCCACGCCGUAAACGGUGGGUACUAGGUGUGGGUUUCCUUCCUUGGGAUCCGUGCCGUAGCUAACGCAUUAAGUACCCCGCCUGGGGAGUACGGCCGCAAGGCUAAAACUCAAAGAAAUUGACGGGGGCCCGCACAAGCGGCGGAGCAUGUGGAUUAAUUCGAUGCAACGCGAAGAACCUUACCUGGGUUUGACAUGCACAGGACGCCGGCAGAGAUGUCGGUUCCCUUGUGGCCUGUGUGCAGGUGGUGCAUGGCUGUCGUCAGCUCGUGUCGUGAGAUGUUGGGUUAAGUCCCGCAACGAGCGCAACCCUUGUCUCAUGUUGCCAGCGGGUAAUGCCGGGGACUCGUGAGAGACUGCCGGGGUCAACUCGGAGGAAGGUGGGGAUGACGUCAAGUCAUCAUGCCCCUUAUGUCCAGGGCUUCACACAUGCUACAAUGGCCGGUACAAAGGGCUGCGAUGCCGCGAGGUUAAGCGAAUCCUUUUAAAGCCGGUCUCAGUUCGGAUCGGGGUCUGCA